UCCUACGGGAGGCAGCAGUGGGGAAUUUUCCGCAAUGGGCGAAAGCCUGACGGAGCAACGCCGCGUGAGGGAUGAAGGCCUCUGGGCUGUAAACCUCUUUUAUCAAGGAAGAAGAUCUGACGGUACUUGAUGAAUAAGCCACGGCUAAUUCCGUGCCAGCAGCCGCGGUAAUACGGGAGUGGCAAGCGUUAUCCGGAAUUAUUGGGCGUAAAGCGUCCGCAGGCGGUCUUUUAAGUCUGCUGUUAAAGCGUGGAGCUUAACUCCAUUUCGGCAGUGGAAACUGGAAGACUAGAGUGUGGUAGGGGCAGAGGGAAUUCCCGGUGUAGCGGUGAAAUGCGUAGAUAUCGGGAAGAACACCAGUGGCGAAGGCGCUCUGCUGGGCCAUAACUGACGCUCAUGGACGAAAGCCAGGGGAGCGAAAGGGAUUAGAUACCCCUGUAGUCCUGGCCGUAAACGAUGAACACUAGGUGUCGGGGGAAUCGACCCCCUCGGUGUCGUAGCCAACGCGUUAAGUGUUCCGCCUGGGGAGUACGCACGCAAGUGUGAAACUCAAAUGAAUUGACGG
rnacentral:rRNA from 1 species